rnacentral:rRNA from 1 species
AGCGAACGCUGGCGGCAGGCUUGACACAUGCAAGUCGAACGCACCGCAAGGUGAGUGGCAGACGGGUGAGUAACACGUGGGGAUCUGCCCAAUGGUACGGAAUAGCUCCGGGAAACUGGAAUUAAUACCGUAUGUGCCCUUCGGGGGAAAGAUUUAUCGCCAUUGGAUGAACCCGCGUCGGAUUAGCUAGUUGGUGUGGUAAAGGCGCACCAAGGCGACGAUCCGUAGCUGGUCUGAGAGGAUGAUCAGCCACACUGGGACUGAGACACGGCCCAGACUCCUACGGAGGCAGCAGUGGGGAAUAUUGGACAAUGGGCGCAAGCCUGAUCCAGCCAUGCCGCGUGAGUGAUGAAGGCCCUAGGGUUGUAAAGCUCUUUCGCCGACGAAGAUAAUGACGGUAGUCGGAGAAGAAGCCCCGGCUAACUUCGUGCCAGCCGCCGCAGUAACAC